ACAUAUGCUAGGCAAGUGCUGUACCACUGAGCCAUGACCCCAGCUCCAAAGCUUCAAGAGAUCUUGGGGUGCAUCCCAUGACAUGGAAAACUUACUGCAAGUUCUGCUGUGCUCCGAGCACAACAACAGCCUGACUUCCUCAUUCUGCAGAAGAGAUGUCUACCCUGGCCAUGCCCAAUGUGGCUGGGCUCCUGACUUCAACCUCCUGCUCCAGCCUCCAUGAACUGGCAAAGGUCAGCAAUUAUUAUUAUUAUUAUUAUUAUUAUUGGUAUUGGG
rnacentral:lncRNA from 1 species